GUGAAGUCAUUGAUGCCAUGCUUCCAGGAAAAGCCUCUAAGCUUCAGAUUGUAAGGAAUCGUACCCCAAACCGACACAGGUGGUCGGGUAGAGAAUACCAAGGCGCUUGAGAGAACUCGGGUGAAGGAACUAGGCAAAAUGGUACCGUAACUUCGGGAGAAGGUACGCUCUCGACGGUGAAGUCCCUCGCGGAUGGAGCUAUUGAGAGUCGCAGAUACCAGGUGGCUGCAACUGUUUAUUAAAAACACAGCACUGUGCAAAAUCGCAAGAUGACGUAUACGGUGUGACGCCUGCCCGGUGCCGGAAGGUUAAUUGAUGGGGUUAGACUUCGGUCGAAGCUCUUGAUCGAAGCCCCGGUAAACGGCGGCCGUAACUAUAACGGUCCUAAGGUAGCGAAAUUCCUUGUCGGGUAAGUUCCGACCUGCACGAAUGGCGUAAUGAUGGCCACGCUGUCUCCACCCGAGACUCAGUGAAAUUGAAAUCGCUGUGAAGAUGCAGUGUACCCGCGGCUAGACGGAAAGACCCCGUGAACCUUUACUACAGCUUGGCACUGAACAUUGACCCUACAUGUGUAGGAUAGGUGGGAGGCUUUGAAGCGCAGUCGCUAGAUUGCGUGGAGCCGUCCUUGAAAUACCACCCUUGUAGUGUUGAUGUUCUAACGUCGACCCCUUAUCGGGGUUGCGGACAGUGCCUGGUGGGUAGUUUGACUGGGGCGGUCUCCUCCCAAAGCGUAACGGAGGAGCACGAAGGUGGGCUAAUCACGGUUGGACAUCGUGAGGUUAGUGCAAUGGCAUAAGCCCGCUUGACUGCGAGAAUGACAAUUCGAGCAGGUGCGAAAGCAGGUCAUAGUGAUCCGGUGGUUCUGAAUGGAAGGGCCAUCGCUCAACGGAUAAAAGGUACUCCGGGGAUAACAGGCUGAUACCGCCCAAGAGUUCAUAUCGACGGCGGUGUUUGGCACCUCGAUGUCGGCUCAUCACAUCCUGGGGCUGAAGUCGGUCCCAAGGGUAUGGCUGUUCGCCAUUUAAAGUGGUACGCGAGCUGGGUUUAGAACGUCGUGAGACAGUUCGGUCCCUAUCUGCCGUGGGCGUUGGA
rnacentral:rRNA from 2 species